rnacentral:lncRNA from 1 species
CCUGACUACUGCUUCCUGGUCUGGGGAAUAGAGUUGGAGGGGCCACCCUUAGUCACCUGAAUUUGACCCUCUCCACAGCAACAACAGAAGAAACAAAUGGAACGUCAGCUGGAAGAAGAAAAGAAAGCAAACAAGGAAAUACACAGAGCACAAACGGAGCAGUUAGAGACAAUCAACAUCCUCACAUUGGAAAAGGCAGACUUGAAGACCACCCUUUACCAUACUAAACGUGCCGCCAGACACUUCGAAGGAGAGUCCAAGGAUCUGGCUAGCCACCUGCAAUCCUCCUUACAGCGUAUUCAAGAAUUGGAGCAGGCUCUCUCUGCUGUGUCUACACAGCAGCAGGAAGAGGACAGGGUGAGUCCAACCAGCUGCCCCAUCCCUUUGCAACCUGGCUUGACAGAUAGAGGAGUGAGCCUAAAGGUCUCUGCUGCAGGAUGCAGUGUCCUGCCCAGAAGGCAGCAGGAUCAUUUCAAGCUGCUUUUGUGUAUGGUUGUUAGAGGCAGCCUGGGGCUAAGUCAGCUACUGUGGGUAAGUUGGGGGCGCUGUGGGGAGUGAGCACUGGAUACAGAGCUCAGAGGCCAAGUGCCUGCCCUGCCCUUACCUGGCUGUGGCCUUGGCCAAAUCCUAGGUGGGGUAUUGGGUACUUGUACUGUGAAGGUACAGAAGAGUACCUUUAGUACGUUACCAUUUCUGUAGAGAGAGGAAAGGUGUGUGUGUGUGUGUGUGUGUGUGUACUAUGAUAAUGUACAUAAAACAUGUCUGCAAGUGUUUGUAAAAAAACUCAGGAGAGAGUAACAGGGUGCUCGGGAGACACUUCCCUUCUGUACCUUCUGAGUUUUGGACUAUGCGAAUGUAUCAUCCUUUCAAAAAGCA